UUCUGGUCCACACACAUGACAGAUCUUUCUAUUUAAAUUUCUAUUUUAUCUAUUUUAAAAUUUCUCUCAGCAAUAGUAGUUUUUUUCCUCAGUCUUUUUUUUUUUUUUUUCUUCUUUGUUUUAUUUUGGAUACUUUCUAUUGCCAUGUCUUCAACUUCACUAAUAUUUUCUUCUACAGGGUCUAAUUUGCAUUGUUAUGAAUGGAAUGUUUGUGUCCCCCUCAAAUUCGUGUGUUGAAGCCCUAACCAAAUACCAAUGUGUGAUAUUUGGGAAUGGGGACUUUGGGAGGUAAUUAGAGCUAGAUGAGGUCAUGAGGAUGGGGUCUUCAUAGUGAACUUUGUAUCUUUAUAAUAACAGACACCAGAGAGCUUGUGCCGUCUCUCUCUCCACAUGUACACACCAAGGAAAGGCCAUGUGAGGGCAGAGCCAGAAGCCAGUCUGCAAGCCAGGAAGAUAGUCCUCACCAGAACCCAACCAUGCUGGUGCCUGGUCUUGGACUUCCAGCCUCCAGAACUGUGAGAAACAUGGGGAUCGCUGUCCUUCAAGACCUCAUGGCCAGUGUCUGGAACACCAUUGCUUUAUGGAUUUUGAGUGUUUUCGGAGUCAUUUCAGGUAAGAGGGUAAGAUCAGUCUGUGUUUACUCAAUCUUGUCUAGAAGAUGAAAUCUAUUAGAUUUUUGUGGAUACACAUAUAUAUGUAUAUUUAUAUUUAAACACAUAUAUAUGUUAUAUAUAUGUUUGCUUUUACGUUUUUGAGGAAUAAAUGUAUAUAUAAAUAAUGGUAUGGAAGGGCUUGAUUGAAAAGUAGAAGUCUUCUUCUGUGCGCCAUUCCCCUACUCCACACCUGCCUGACCCCCAGAGGUUUCUCACUCUGGCGCUGUUUGUUGUGUACCCUCCCAGAAGUGUUUGGGUGUACAAUUCCAUAUAUAUCUGCUUAGGUGGUAUCACACUUGG
rnacentral:lncRNA from 1 species